UCUCUUUCAGAUCUAAUAAUCUCCAAAACUAUGGACUUACAGCACAUAAGAAACUGCAUAGAUAUAAACUCCAGCAAAGCCCUGCAUUGGAUACUCAGCCCAACAUGUUUUUGCAUAUCAUCCUCUGACAUAUGCUAUGUUUCAAGAAAUGACCAACAAAGGGAGACCAAAUAGAGUAUCUUCUGAGAUUUUAUGGAAGUGGCACCUUCAAUCAAAGUCUGGUUGUGGGAAGUGAGGGAGAAAUUGCAGUAUACAAGCUUUAACUACUUGAAGAAUAUUUUCAUUUCAUCUAUCAGAAACCCUUGUGUCAAGAUAAUUUAUUUGACUCGACUUUCAGGAAUUCAGCAUCAUAGCUAUAUUCAUGUGAAUAAAUCCAGAGUUCUUUCAGAUUCUAACCAGCCAAGUAUGGGAAAACAGAAAAUGGUGAUAUUUAACAUUUCAAAUUUAUCAUACAGGAAGUAAAGGACACCAUUCAAUAUCGGAAUUAGAAGCAUUCUAUUCAUUUUCCCCCUGCAGCCAGGGAAAGAGAAAGAGGAGUGCAGAGGCAGAGACUCAAACAACUCUAGAUGCAGCAAUUCUCUAGCCGCUGAGCAAUGAGGUUUCAGACGCUGCUGGAGGACCCAUUCAUCUUAAUCCAUCUGGAAAGAGGGCUACGCGCAAUAUUUCACAAUCUAAGUACUUUCUGACAAAUCUAUUAAUUAUGCACUCAAACAAAUUAUUUGCUGCCUGUGGAGAAUUGCUACUGGAUUUUCUCUUGUGCCAGAUCCACGUUCUCUUUUCUGCUUUUAACUCAUUGCUGUCAUUGGCACAGUCAUCUCGCUCCCCUGUUUUAAGCAUCUAACAUUUUAAAUUAGAACGUGGUCAUUACUACAGAGAAGCCACAGGAGGUUAAGGGAACAUGACAGUGAAGAGCUGAACGAUACUUUCUUUCUGCCGCCUCCCUGACACCUUUUGUCUUCCAUUCUAUUCUGAAGCAAAGCAUAUGGAAGACAUCUCUUCUCCAUGCUAGAACAAUAGAUGAGACCAUUAGUUUGUGGCUUACUCAUGCUUCUCAUCCACAACUUUGAAUUUGGUUCCUCAGUUCUAAAGACAAGUCCUCCUCCACAACUUAUAAAAUCAACAACUCUAUGAAACAUGCACGGCGUGUGGAAGGAAAAAAAAUACAUAGUUACAACUUAUUCUCUACUAAUUUGAUCAUUACAUUUUAGUUCUAGCACACUAUUUAAAGAUCUCAGAUUUUUUUUAAAAAGUAAUUUCCUAGCCUUAGAGAUACUACAUACAAUUCUAGAAAGCUACUGAAAACAAAAGAUAAAAAUGAAAGUCAUGCAUAAUACCAGCUGUUAAAAAUAUGUGUAUGUCUUUCUAGUCCUUUUAUAUAUGUACAGAAUAUAUAUGCUUAUAUUGAAAAACAUGUACAUGAUUUUCUAUGUAUCUUUAACUUACCAUUUCAUAUCUACCCUCUACAUUGUGAAACCUUAUCAUAUGUUGGGGAAAUAUAAUUAAAAACAAAAUUUCUUCCCACGGAAAUCCUCUCCACAAAGAUAGGAAAAGGAAGACACUUUUAUUAUUGAAUAAACAUUUAACUAAACAUUACCUAAAAUGUGAU
rnacentral:lncRNA from 1 species